UACGUAGGUGUCAAACGUUGUCCGGAUUUAUUGGGCGUAAAGCGCCCGCAGGCGGCUUUGUAAGUUCUAAGUGAAAUCUCCCGGCUCAACUGGGAGGGGUCUUGGAAAACUGCAAGGCUUGAGGCAGGGAGAGGGAUGUGGAAUUCCAGGUGUAGCGGUGGAAUGCGUAGAUAUCUGGAGGAACACCAGUGGCGAAGGCG
rnacentral:rRNA from 1 species